UGCAGGAUAAGCAUUGUUCGAGGGAUGCGCUCUUAGCUGGACUCAAACUGGAGGAGCAAACACAAGGCAGCAACACCAACACUUCCAAGUCUCCUCCAGCAGCGGUCAGCAGGGGCUCGCGAAAUCUCUUGUCCAGGGACUUCACAGAUGAUAAGGAGGGACCAAUGACCAAACACAUCAGAUUAACUGCUGCCUUAACGUUAAAGAACAUCGCAAAGUUCUCUGAUUGUGGACGGAAGUUGGUGAGGCGACACGAAAAUCAUCUCUCUGUGCUGGCUCUGAGCAGUAUGGAGGUCUCCACCACGCUCGCUAAAUGCCUUUACGAACUGACGCGCUCUCUGCAGGCCUGAGCUCAGCUCAGCUCAACCCAAAAACCUUCAAAAGGAAACGUAAAUGUUCCCUUUCUGCUGCCACACAGGCCGUCAGCAACGUCGAGGCGACGUCUCUUGGCCCUCUGAAACCCCACCUCUGUCUCUCCAUUCCACCGAUCCCCCUCCCUCCCCCUUACAAACUGCCACGGGUCUUCCACCAGCCACUCAGAAACCAGCGCCCAUUUCACUCUUCGAACCGCCUCGUCACGCCCGGCCCAGAUUUGUGAAUAGAUAUAAAGUUAAAUGAGUCUCCUCCUCCUUCAUGCCGCUGCAGCCCGUUGGUAUCCGCAGCAUUAAUUUAGUAGAUUCAGCCUCUGUUAUUUUAACCCCUCGUAUGAGAUGUGAUUCUAUACUCAGCAGUGGAUGAAUGUACUUAACCCUGUAAAUAUUCUGCGAAGGUACUGAUGCUGUAAAGUUUUGGUAGGGCUGGCAGAGGCCUACAAGGUUUUUCUUUGUGGAACUGUGAUAUUCCCCUCCUUGGCCCCUCUUUCUUUUUGUACUAUGUAACUUGUAGAACUCAUUUUGCUGGCUGAAAGAGUAUGAAAUAAUAUAUCGUAUGUCAUUUUGUAGAAGAGAUGAAUAUUGAAGGUAUUCCCCCUCAACCUGUAUUCACUGUAACGCCAGUGUGCGAGCUGCCCGCCCGUGCUCAAGUCCUUUUGUAUUUGUAAAUUGGUUUAAAUACAUGGAGUUUUAUACAGGUUUUCUCCUGUGUUCUUUGCUUUCCGUGCAGGUAUGAUAUUUUCCUCCAGAUCGUUUUCUAUCUUCAUAUAGUGUUUUUUCUCCUGUUUUUUCCGUUUUCCCCAGGCCUCUUUUGCUGUGUUGUGUAACAUUUAUUAUUGCCUGUUGUGUUAGCAUCCCAGCGGGGACAUGACCCCCACUCACCAUUUUUGCAGUGUCUGUAGGGUGUGUGAUGAUACAUAUAUCUAACAGUCUGAUAUAGAUUGGCUUCAUUUACUUUGGUGACUGUUUAUAGUUUUUAAAUAAAAGAAUGAACAUUUUUGA